rnacentral:misc_RNA from 1 species
CGACAUGUUAACAACCGACCCGUCUUCCAGACGGAGAGAGUUGAAAUGAAGAGUUUGGAGGAACUCGGAUUGCCUCAUGAAUCCGUGAAGUGGGCUGGCCCACCCUUCGCUCAAAACAUGAACCCAUUGUAAAUCAAUCUUCGUUAACUUAAUCUUAGGCAAUGAAAUUGCCUCUCUCCUCUUAACAUCCUUCUGGGACUUGUCAACGAAUAGCUCAACCAGUUUGCCACCGUCCGGUUCGAUCAAGCCGGCUCGAAUUCGGACCACCCUUUUCUGCUGAAGUUUGGGAGUACAGGACAGUGUAAGAGGAAGAACGAAACGGGUAUUGAAGGAUUUGGGGAGGGAGUGAGGAGGAAACGGGCUUUUGGUGAAGAGGUCGGUCAUGGAAGCCAUUGAUAGAACUCAGAAGACAGGAGACAACCAGAGGAAGAGCUCUCCGGUUGUUGGUUUUUAAGCGGUAGUUUGGUUUGGAGGAUAUAAGGUUUAAUAAUGAAAAAAAAAGGAGGGUAUUUUGGGGAAAAUGGAGGGCAACGUUUAUCAAAUGAAAGAGCCCGAAGGAAGGUG